UUUCCGUAGGUGAACCUGCGGAAGGAUCAUUAGUCAAUUGUAUAUGUAAGCGGUCUACCUCGGAGUCCCUAGCAGCAAAUCAUAUCCAUAACACAUGUGUACUUUAAGGCUGCCUUGAAAACGAAAGUGAUUAGAGCGCCUGCCCAUUUCAUACAAACAUAAAAGUAACAAACGUAGUCUUAUUUUAAUCAAAUAAAACUUUCAACAACGGAUCUCUUGGAUCUC
rnacentral:misc_RNA from 1 species